rnacentral:rRNA from 1 species
UACAGAGGGUGCAAACGUUGCUCGGAAUUACUGGGCGUAAAGCGCGUGUAGGUGGACUGGUGUGUCAGAUGUGAAAUCCCUGGGCUCAACCCAGGAACUGCACCUGAAACUACCAGCCUUGAGUGGUGGAGAGGGAAGUGGAAUUCCUGGUGUAGAGGUGAAAUUCGUAGAUAUCAGGAGGAACACCAGUGGCGAAGGCGGCUUCCUGGACACCAACUGACGCUGAGACGCGAAAGCGUGGGGAGCAAACAGG